AGAGUUUGAUCAUGGCUCAGAACGAACGCUGGCGGCAUGCCUAACACAUGCAAGUCGAACGAACCCUUCGGGGUUAGUGGCGCACGGGUGCGUAACGCGUGGGAACCUGCCUUUAGGUUCGGAAUAACUCAGAGAAAUUUGAGCUAAUACCGGAUAAUGUCUUCGGACCAAAGAUUUAUCGCCUUUAGAUGGGCCCGCGUUAGAUUAGAUAGUUGGUGGGGUAAUGGCCUACCAAGUCGACGAUCUAUAGCUGGUCUGAGAGGAUGAUCAGCCACACUGGGACUGAGACACGGCCCAGACUCCUACGGGAGGCAGCAGUGGGGAAUAUUGGACAAUGGGCGAAAGCCUGAUCCAGCAAUGCCGCGUGAGUGAUGAAGGCCUUAGGGUUGUAAAGCUCUUUUACUAGGGAUGAUAAUGACAGUACCUAGAGAAUAAGCUCCGGCUAACUCCGUGCCAGCAGCCGCGGUAAUACGGAGGGAGCUAGCGUUGUUCGGAAUUACUGGGCGUAAAGCGCACGUAGGCGGCUUACCAAGUCAGGGGUGAAAUCCCGGAGCUCAACUCCGGAACUGCCCUUGAAACUGGUAAGCUAGAAUCUUGGAGAGGCGAGUGGAAUUCCGAGUGUAGAGGUGAAAUUCGUAGAUAUUCGGAAGAACACCAGUGGCGAAGGCGACUCGCUGGACAAGUAUUGACGC
rnacentral:rRNA from 1 species